AUGGAGACAGGCUCGAUUCCAGGCGCUUUCCCAGCCUAUAAUUGGGACACCAUUAUAAAUUGUAAACAUCUACUUUGUACUAUAAAUGCACCUUUAAAUGCAGCAGAGAGGGGAAUGUCACGGAGUGGCUGCCAGGACAGCAUGGAGCAGCCCCCUGGCGUUGGCUCCAGGCGAUGGCGAAGGGGGCUGCAGACAUCCUGUGGGGCUCUGGGAGCAGAUCUUCAAAAUUUGGGGGUGCCCUUGGUCUGCUUUAUGGAAAAGCCCACAGAGCAUCCUCUUCCCCAUCCCAUAUCUGAAGCCUGCAGCAAGCACCAGACUGGAUGUGGAAGGCACCUGCAGAACAUGUGGACUUUUAAAUGGCAAAGAAAAUAACCACAACUUCCAAGGAACCAAGACCUUCUCCUGUAAUGUGUUAUUUUUGGCCUUUCGUUUGCUGUGUGCUUUUUCAUCCUGCUGAAAUGUUAAUUUUCCAUGAAAAAAAAAAAAAAACACAAACAAACCCACAGCCAAAUUUAUAUUGUUCAGCCAUCCCCACUCUUCUUUUAAUCCUUUUCUGGAGGCACUUAUAGGAUGCAAGAAGGGUCCUGCAGUGGCAAUGGGGGAAAGUGGCUCAUUAUUCUCCUGUCACAGUAUGUGGUGACCCAAUACUGACAUUUAUUUUUAAUGUAUUAUGGGGCUAAUGAUUUUUAUAAACAAGAUCCUUUUAGCCAUCAAUGUGUUUGAUUUCUCCAGAAAUCAAUCUCUAAAGGAGCCAGUGACUUUCUGCUGGCUGCUGCAGUUCCACAGAUGCUCAAGGAGGCUUUCUGGCACAGCAGCAGCUGGAGGGAUGCUCAUUUCCAGCAUGCAGAGGUGCAGGAGAAGACCUGGGAGUCCAGGGUAUGGGAUCACAUUGCCAUGUGGGAUAUAGGACAGAAAACAGAUGUACAUCUCCAGGAAACUGGCUUCCAUGGUGCACUUGCUAAAAGUGCUUGGGGCAAAGAGCACGGGAAGCUUGGUGCCACAGAAAAGAGGAUUGGAAAUAAUUUGGUUGUGGUGUUGAAUUACCUUCAGAGUGAAAAAAGAAGGCAUCAAAGGGGGCUUUAAUCUAGCAGAGAGAAGAGCAGGCAGUGCUCAUAGUCGUAACAAGAGGUCCUAUCUCAGAACGGGAGAUCUGGAGGAUGGGGCUAUCAGAUCUGAUGGUGUGAGGGCACCUGGCAGCUUGGGAAGUCCCUGAACCACUGAUGGCCACAGGGUGACCAAUGGAGCCAGGAGGAGGCUUGCAGGGGACAUCUUCUCCUUCCCCCCAGGCAACAUUUGCUGCUGAGGAUCAAAGGGACCUGGGCUUUCAUCUGAGGCACAAAAGCAUCUGUGCCAUCCUGUGUCUCCUUGUCCC
rnacentral:lncRNA from 1 species